rnacentral:lncRNA from 1 species
AUGGCAAGGCUAAAAAUCAUAUUCAGUGGUGUGGUGUAGGCCCAAUUGAAUUAUGCAUGGUUAACGAUCCUUUGGUUAGCAUUGAUUAAUGUAUUGCCAAUGAUCAACCUACUAGCUAGGCUUGAAUAUAAUAUUGCUAACCAUCAAUCCCACUAGCUAGGCACAAAUAGUCUAUUACCCAUGAUUAAGGUUGCAAUUAGGUC